AGCAGCCGCGGUAAUUCCAGCUCCAAUAGCGUAUAUUAAAGUUGUUGCAGUUAAAAAGCUCGUAGUUGAAUUUCGGGAUCAAUUUAUCGGUCGUGCCUAUGGUAUGAACUGGUACAAUUGGUUUCUCCCUUCUGACGAAGCAUGAUGUCAUUAAUUUGGUGUCGUGGGGAAUCAGGACUGUUACUUUGAAAAAAUUAGAGUGUUUAAAGCAAGCAUUAGCUUGAAUACAUUAGCAUGGAAUAAUGAAAUAGGACGUUUGAUCCUAUUUCGUUGGUUUCUAGGAUCGACGUAAUGAUUAAUAGGGAUAGUUGGGGGCAUUAGUAUUCAAUUGUCAGAGGUGAAAUUCUCGGAUUUAUUGAAGACUAACUACUGCGAAAGCAUUUGCCAAGGAUGUUUUCAUUAAUCAAGAACGAAAGUUAGGGGAUCGAAGACGAUCAGAUACCGUCGUAGUCUUAACCAUAAACUAUGCCGACUAGGGAUCGGAUGAUGUUAAUUUUUUAAUGACUCA
rnacentral:rRNA from 1 species